GUAUUGGUGUCUUUAGACACCACCUUUUCAUCUUCAAAAUUUUGU
rfam:Picea glauca, whole genome shotgun sequence.